GAUGAAGGACGUUACUAACGACGAUAUGCUUUGGGGAGCUGUAAGUAAGCUUUGAUCCAGAGAUUUCCGAAUGGGGAAACCCAGCAUGAGUUAUGUCAUGUUAUCGAUAUGUGAAUACAUAGCAUAUCAGAAGGCACACCCGGAGAACUGAAACAUCUUAGUACCCGGAGGAAGAGAAAGAAAAUUCGAUUCCCUUAGUAGCGGCGAGCGAAACGGGAAGAGCCCAA
rnacentral:rRNA from 1 species